rnacentral:rRNA from 1 species
AAGUGGUACGCGAGCUGGGUUUAGAACGUCGUGAGACAGUUCGGUCCCUAUCUGCCGUGGGCGCUGGAGAACUGAGGGGGGCUGCUCCUAGUACGAGAGGACCGGAGUGGACGCAUCACUGGUGUUCGGGUUGUCAUGCCAAUGGCACUGCCCGGUAGCUAAAUGCGGAAGAGAUAAGUGCUGAAAGCAUCUAAGCACGAAACUUGCCCCGAGAUGAGUUCUCCCUGACUCCUUGAGAGUCCUGAAGGAACGUUGAAGACGACGACGUUGAUAGGCCGGGUGUGUAAGCGCAGCGAUGCGUUGAGCUAACCGGUACUAAUGAACCGUGAGG